GAUGAGGACGCCAAUGUGGUAUCGGCACCGCCCUUAUAAGACGGAGAUAGAUAGGUUCAAAUCCUUCCCUCAUCA
rnacentral:tRNA from 1 species